rnacentral:rRNA from 1 species
AACGAACGCUGGCGGCAUGCCUAACACAUGCAAGUCGAACGAGACCUUCGGGUCUAGUGGCGCACGGGUGCGUAACGCGUGGGAACCUGCCCUUAGGUUCGGAAUAACUCCCCGAAAGGGGUGCUAAUACCGGAUAAUGUCUUCGGACCAAAGAUUUAUCGCCUUUGGAUGGGCCCGCGUUGGAUUAGCUAGUUGGUAGGGUAAAAGCCUACCAAGGCGACGAUCCAUAGCUGGUCUGAGAGGAUGAUCAGCCACACUGGGACUGAGACACGGCCCAGACUCCUACGGGAGGCAGCAGCGGGGAAUAUUGGACAAUGGGCGAAAGCCUGAUCCAGCAAUGCCGCGUGAGUGAUGAAGGCCUUAGGGUUGUAAAGCUCUUUUACCCGGGAUGAUAAUGACAGUACCGGGAGAAUAAUCUCCGGCUAACUCCGUG